UUUACUUUAAAAUAUUUAUUGUUUUUUAUUAUAUUAAUUUUAUAUUAGGUAGGUGCCCAUUUUAUUUUUAUCUUCACAAGUUAAUUAUACCUAUGCAAUACCAUCCAGGUUAAAGAAUGGUAUAUAAGUCUAGCAUCAAAUCGGUGUAAAAAUAUAGCUUACUACUUUGACUUAUGAUAAGAGCAUCUGAUGCCCAUUUGGCUAUUACCAUCAGAAGUUAGUUCUACCUCUGCUCAACAUACCAUCUCUCUGGUUAAAGAAUAGAAUUUAAGUCUCAUAAAUAACAAGUUAUUGUAAAGAUACAGUUUAAAUUAAGAAUUUGUCAAAGCUAUUGUCACUAUUGUGAGUCUGUUAAACAAAAGCUUUUCGUCUGGUUUAGAAUGGAGCCUGAAUCUAUAAUCAACUAGGUGUACAAAGAUCUUUUUCUAAUUAAAGAACUUAUCAGUGGAUCAACUUAUUAUAAAACAGUUUUUUAUGAGAAUAAAAACACAUUACCAAACAA